UGUGAUACGCUGACAAAACCAGAUCGAC
rnacentral:piRNA from 1 species